GUGUUAUCCUUGUUUAAUAUUUUAAUACAAGGAAUAUAUUUGGAGUGAAGGUUAAGCAUAGCAUCAGUACAUGCCUACAUACAGUGAUUUUAAAGUUUGAAAUAUGACCUAAAUUGACAGUUUCGUGUUAUACUGCUUUUUAAUGGCACCAUCUUGAAUUAAACGAGGAAUUCAAUGUUUAAGGAAGGCAAAGCAUCCUUUCUCUGACAGGGUUUAAAGGCAGUGUCUUUAUUGUGACACUUGUCACUGAAUAAAGCCGCCACUGAAAUGGAAGGGAAUAAUGCAAGUAUUUACAUGCACAGAAAUAGCAAUAAUCAUGAUGAAUGGAUUCCAGAUGCUAAUUUUAAUGUAUGCAGCCGCGCUCCUCUACGACAGUACACAGAUGCUCAGUUUUGCUAUGCCGGCAGACGUAGUGAAGGGGGUGCUGGAAGCUCAUUUGCAUGCCGAACUGCUAUCUUAAUGUGGAUAUUUAUUUUAAUUCAAUUUCUUACCCGCACAUACCGCACGGGAGGCUUUUGUGGCAAAGUCACAUUAACCUCUGGCUAGUUAAUAUUCAUCUGGCGAAGUCCCCCAGCACUUGAUGAAUAUUCAUGAGGUGGGCGCGGCUGUCCCCUCACUCCUCCCCCGGCUCCAUGGCGCCCGCGCAGAUAUGUUUAUUUCUGCAAGCGAGAACGCACGCGGCCAUCAUCAUCCUCAUCUUCCUGCAGCUCGAUCUGCGCGUGACAGUCGCUCAGCUCAAUAUGGCAAACAAGAACGUUUUACCCGCCAAAGAGCGCUCACUGAAGGGCAGGGAGGAGAAAAUGGUCGUGGCAGUAAAGCAUGCGGCCAAUGAGAACCCCACAGUGGAGCCAUUUCCUGAUGGCAUGGAGAUGAUCAUGUUUGGUAUGGGCUGUUUUUGGGGAGCAGAGAGGCGUUUCUGGAGGAUUCCUGGUGUGUUCUCUACACAAGUGGGCUAUGCUGGAGGCUUUACACCUAACCCCACCUACCAUGAGGUGUGCUCAGGUUUAACAGGGCACACAGAAGUAGUGCGAGUGGUCUUCUCUCCUAAAGAUGUCAGCUUAGAGAAACUUCUCAAAGUCUUCUGGGAGAGCCAUGACCCCACUCAAGGAAUGGCACAGGGGAAUGACCAUGGCACACAGUACCGUUCUGCCAUCUACACCUACAGCACAGAACAGCAAGAGCUGGCCAUGAGGAGCAAGCAUAUGUACCAGGAGGCCCUGACAAGAAAAGGCCUGGGUGAGAUCACCACAGAGAUCCGAGAGCACACUGAUUUUUACUAUGCUGAAGACUACCACCAGCAAUAUCUGCAAAAGAAUACUAAGCUUGUGGCGCAUAACCCCCAGUUGAAUUCAAUUGGCCACACCUGACAGGAAGUUGAAAUGGACAGGAAGGGGAAGUUGAUUUAUCAAACUUCAAGACUUGUUCAAAACUUUUAAGCAAGCCAGUAUUCAAGAAGAGACAAAUGUGACAUUACUGAUGUCUUCUUCUCAGGAGAAAAAACAAGAAAUAAUGAUCGCCUCUCUUUUUGACUGAUAAGACACAGGGAGGAUAGGUUCAUUGGGAGGAAACCACAUUCGACAUCUCUCCCAUGCAGCUGCUCCCAGACACCCACUCUUCCUGCAGGAGUGCAUGUCUGUGUUCAACAAAGAGAUAAAAAACCUCUCGGAUCUCAUCAACAAUAUCUUAAUUUGUGUUCCAAAGAUGAACGAAGGUCUUACGGGUGUGGAACGACAUGAGGACCACAGCUGAGAUUAUGGCAACCCUCACAUCUAUAACCAACAACUCCUGAGGCUGGGCAGGUGCUGCUGGAGUAUGGAAUAUACAGUCACGGCUAUUCUCACACACUCAUUGCUUCAUAUGCAGGUGCAAAACUCCAUAAAUGUCUGAAAUAAAUGACUGUUUUCAUAUGUUAUAGUUUGAAAAUGUAUUCAACUGUUCAAUCACGUCUCUACAACAUCCACCAUUUUUUAUUGGAAAAAAUGUGAAUGUGACGACAUUUCUGCAAAGCGAUAUUACGUUGCUUCUUGAAUGUUUUGCGACAGUGAAAUGUCUUGUGGGUGGCACUGAAAGUAGGUUCAGUUUUAUCCGAAACAGGGAAAUGUGAAUCUGCCAAAAAUGAAAAUUAAAUGUCUGAUGAGUAGCGCUAAGAGGUUAAUGCUCUAUUGCGUUUGAAAAGAAUGUAGCAACUACAUGUUACGCUACUCUAAACCUAACCAAUAGUGUUAUAAAGUCUGAGAAAAAGGCAUUUUCUGAAGCAACCAUGCAAUUUUAGCUUGCUUCUACAAGUUGAUGAACUCUUUUCUCGUGACUCACGUUUCACGGGACUAGUAUUAGUUCACCAAAAAAUGAAAUUUCUGUCAUUA